AUGGAGUCUGCGCUAAGCUGGGUUUUCCUUGUUGCUGUUUUCAAAGGUGUCCAGUGUGAGGUGCAGCUGGUGGAGUCCGGGGGAGGCCUGAGUCAGCCUGGGGGGUCUCUGAGACUCUCCUGUGAAGCCUCUGGAUUCACCUUCAGUAGUUACUGAAUGCACUGGGUCCGCCAGGCUCCAGGGAAGGGCCUGCAGUGGGUCGCAGCUAUCGGUAGUAGUAGUAGUUACAUAUACUACGCAGACUCCGUGAAGGGCCAAUUCACCAUCUCCAGAGACAACGCCAAGAACACGCUGUAUCUGCAAAUGAACAGUCUGAAAGUCGAGGACACGGCCCUGUAUUACUGUGCGAGAGACACAGUGAGGGGAAGUCAAUGUGAGCCCAGACACAAACCUCCCCUGCAGAGAUACGGCCGGCAGCAGGGGGCGCUCCACACUGACCGAGCUCAGGAUUCAGACCCAGGAGCAACUGCAGGGAUGUGUUGA